AUUGAACGCUGGCGGCAGGCCUAACACAUGCAAGUCGAGCGGAGCGGCGGACGGGUGAGUAAUGUCUGGGAAACUGCCUGAUGGAGGGGGAUAACUACUGGAAACGGUAGCUAAUACCGCAUACUAUCAGAUGAGCCUAGGUCGGAUUAGCUAGUUGGUGGGGUAAAGGCCUACCAAGGCGACGAUCCUUAACUGGUCUGAGAGGAUGAGCAGUCACACUGGCACGGAGACACGGUCCAGACUCCUACGGGAGGCAGCAGUGGGGAAUAUUGGACAAUGGGCGUAAGCCUGAUCCAGCCAUGCCGCGUGUGUGAAGAAGGUCUUCGGAUUGUAAAGCACUUUAAGUUGGGAGGCGUUACCAACAGAAGAAGCACCGGCUAACUCCGUGCCAGCAGCCGCGGUAAUAC
rnacentral:rRNA from 1 species